UACGUAGGGGGCAAGCGUUGUCCGGAAUUAUUGGGCGUAAAGCGCGCGCAGGCGGCCUUGUAAGUCUGUUGUUUAAACUUGGGGCUCAACCCCAAGUCGCAAUGGAAACUGCAAAGCUUGAGUGCAGAAGAGGAAAGUGGAAUUCCACGUGUAGCGGUGAAAUGCGUAGAGAUGUGGAGGAACACCAGUGGCGAAGGCGGCUUUCUGGUCUGUAACUGACGCUGAGGCGCGAAAGCGUGGGGAGCAAACAGG
rnacentral:rRNA from 1 species